GUGGGGAAUAUUGGGCAAUGGGCGCAAGCCUGACCCAGCAACGCCGCGUGAAGGAAGAAGGCUUUCGGGUUGUAAACUUCUUUUGCCAGGGACGAAAAAAAUGACGGUACCUGGAGAAUAAGCCACGGCUAACUACGUGCCAGCAGCCGCGGUAAUACGUAGGUGGCAAGCGGUGUCCGGAUUUACUGGGUGUAAAGGGCGCGUAGGCGGGACUGCAAGUCAGAUGUGAAAUGCAGGGGCUUAACCCCUGAGCUGCAUUUGAAACUGUGGUUCUUGAGUGAUGGAGAGGCAAGUGGAAUUCCUAGUGUAGCGGUGAAAUGCGUAGAUAUUAGGAGGAACACCAGUGGCGAAGGCGACUUGCUGGACAUUAACUGACGCUGAGGCGUGAAAGCGUGGGGAGCAAACAGGAUUAGAAACCCUUGUAGUCC
rnacentral:rRNA from 1 species